GGGGGUCACCGCCUUCUGGUCCUGCAGUGCCAACAAUGCACUGGAUAUACCAGCAUUUAUUAUUAAGUUUAGUGAGGGCAGGGGUAGGUUAGUUAGGGAUUUAGGGUUGUUUGAUUAUGAGGUGAGAUGGUCACAUGGGGAUGAAGUAAUUCUUUAACAUAACUUCUGUAUGCAGAAGUACAGUAUACAGAGAUAAGAAUUUACAAUAUAGUGUGUGCAUCAGUAAUUUCUAACAGAGCCUUAAAACGGAAAAACAGUCUUUCCAUAACCUAUGAUUAGCAAGAUAUUAAUCAGCAGUAACAGUUGCAGCAAAAGCCGGUUACAAACAAUCCAUAGAAACAGGACGUGAAGAAAUUCUCAGAAGGUAGUAUGCCUUAACCCUAAAGAGGCCUAGAAGAGCUGUGGCAAGAUGAGGGCGUUUAUAGCCCUAUCUUAUCCAAAUGGACAGGCACCCCUCAUGCGUCCAUUUAUAGCUCUCCACAAGGGUCACAUUCCAUUCCCAGAGCUAUGAACAUCUGCUUUUCUGGGAUAGGAAUCUUGGUGAUGUGAAACCUCCCUGACUGCACAUCCAUUCAUAGGCUCUCUGCAGGGGGAAGCACAACACGCGCUGCUGGCUCGUUCUGGCAGUCCAACCUGGCAUUGUCUUUACACAAUCCUGCAUGCAAUCCUGUAUUUACAACAAUCAGGAGCAUUUCACUUUUUAUUCCGUAGCAAUACUUUCAGGGGGUCUCCCUACACCAGCUGACUUAUUAUGGCUCAUUUUUGUGCACAUUUUUUUAACUGAUUGACAAAUUACAUCAAGGAAAAUUCAGAGGCUCAAAUGGUCAUUACUGAAACUCUCUAAAAACAUCCCUGAAACUAUAGUUAACAUGUAGUGCCUUCUAAGUUCUCUAAUUUUCUCUUCCAAUUUUUUUCUGCCUAGUUUGAAUCUGCUGACUUUUCUACUGGUGUUCAGAUAAAAUUCACUGCUUAUUGCAUUCGAGCCAAUAUUUUUACAAAAGGUCCUAAAGGUCAUUCAAAUUAAUAGCUUUACAAAUAACAACAGCUCAACGGUAACCAAGAAACUAGACAUAAGGGUCAACUCUUUUAAUGUAAAUUUGGGCUUGCCUAACAAUUGCUUAGGAUAAUUAAAUAAUUAAUUGAAGGACUGGCAACUAUAAAACUAUAAACUACUUAUAAAACUAAAAGAACUAGAUAAAUGUUUAUAAAGAUAUAAAGAUUGAAACUAAAAAAAGGAUUAAAAGAGGUAUUUUUGUUCUUUUUAAAAACCAAACUGUUUUACUCAAAAUUCUGGUCCACAGCUUUUAUUAUAUUACCUAUUUGGGCAAACAAAGUGUAGUCAUGUGAACAGGUCCCAAUUUUGUCAGAAAUGCAAUUUGGAUCCAACUGUCUUUUAUAAACUAAUGAGAUUGUAUGCUUUACAGUAUUAUGACUAAAAUUCUAAAAUGAAAGCUAUAAGAACUUUGUUUCUGUGUGUGAAUAUGUGUGUUUGUUCAUAUGUACAUGUAUUAUAUUGUAUGUUGUGUCUCCAUGGCAAAAUCUGGUAUGGUCAGCUAGAAAUCUCUUAAGAAAUUUUAUUCAGAUUGGCUUAGAUAAAAAAGCACUCAUAUAAAAUAUACAGCAAUUCACUCAAAUGCCUUUUAGUUCAUAUGACUUAAGUAAAUCUUUAAUAAACUGGCUCUAAAAUUGUUGGAAAAAUAAAAAUAUCUUUAGAAUUGUCAAAAUACAUUUUUGCCUGAGUUUAUUGGUCAGACAGUUUUAUGUCUCUAUGAGAUAUUUUAAGGUAGCAAGGUUUAACGUAAAGGUUAUAAAACUACAAACCCAGCCGACAACAAGAUGAUCUUUGUCCAACUCUCUGAUAAGACUAAUUUAAUAUUGUUGGCUUAAUAUAAACAGCUGUGUCUUCUGAGUUAUUUGCAAAAUAUUCACAUACUUAAUUUUGAGAUUCUUAUUUAGGUGAACAUGUGAUAUUCUUCAGGCUAUAAAAAUAGUUAACAACAAUAACAAAAAUGGAAUAACUAGCCUUGUCUAAUAUCUUGGUUUUCACAAGUAAUCUAGG
rnacentral:lncRNA from 1 species